rnacentral:lncRNA from 1 species
GGGCAAUGGCGGGCGGCAGCGGAUGGUGGCGGGCGGUGGCGAACGGCAAUCGCGAGAUGACGGAACAGAAGAAUGAGAGUUUCACUAUUUUAAUUCUUUUUUUGAUUCUCAAACGAAGAAUCAUAUUUUUUAUUUUUUAUUCUCAAUUCUCUUCCCAAUCUGUUUCCGGAAACAAAAAUUUUACCUAACGCGAUUCUCGUCCCAAACUAGCUGUUGACACCUAAAUUUUGGUGACUCGGUCAUUUACUUAUUACAUAAGAAUCACGGAUUAAUUUUUUUUAAUUUAAAUUUGCAUAACAUAUAGUUUUAGGAGCAUCUCUUUUAUUACAUUUGGAAUUGAUUGGCCACAGGGGAUUGAAAGUCACGAGGGAGCUUCUAAUAGUAGGCCCAUGAUCUUUGCAUGAUCAAGAACAAAGGUGGCUGGGCACCGUUCCACUACGCGGCCAUCAAGUGUAGGAUCAAGGGGAGAACGAUCAGUCCGAGGCGUUCAAGAAGUUGCUGAAGAUGGAGAGACGCAGAUGACCUUGUACGAUGACGAUGGGAACACAAUCUCACAGCUGGCCGCGGCUUCGAAACAUCUCCAGUCCACUAGACGGCAAAACCGGGUCAAUCUCAUUGAAAGGUUAUGAUGAUCGCACCCUUUUAAUGCUAGAAUUUUAAUUCUGUUAAGAGAAAGUUUUGACCCAUUGCCCCGUGCAAAAAUUCUUUCAAUCUUGUGUGGGCACGCAACUUUCAGUAAUUAAGGAAACGAAGGAUGCGGUGGAGACGUCUUUGAGGAAACGAAAGCUGGUAGAGAAUAGGAAAGAAAAGGGAUACGGGCGAGAAAGUUGAAAGAAUCAAUAUAGUGGUCUUUAUGCUACAUUAUUUCUUGUUUUAAAACAAGAAAGAAUGCACCAUCAAAGAAAUCGCACGCACCCAUGAGGAAAACGAAUUCUCUGCAUCAACUCAAGAACAAAGAAAGAAAUAACGUCGGAUAUACCCAUGGAUCUAUUCACGGCAAGAAAGGGGAGAAAUCGACAAAACUUGCAAGCUGAUAUUCAAUUUGAAGAAAUAAAAUCAAAAAGGGAAUAUUCAGCACGUAUUCAAUCGACUUGGAGCUGCCAUAUUAUAAAUAGAGCAGUAAAUUGAGAGAGAUGGGGAACUUUCGAAUUUCAAAGACACACGAGAGAGAGAGUAGAGCAUACGCGAGGAAUCUUGACCAGUUCUUGGCUGAGACGCUCCUUCCAUGCAUCCGCCCCUUCCACGGCCAGACUUGGGGUCGUAUUUCUGUCUCCAUCACCGCCACAUCGUGCUGCUGCCCUGGUGAGGUGUCGACGACGGCCAAGCUGCUCCCUGCAUACGUGCCACCCGAGAAGUCAACCGAGUCCGGGCUAUUGCACCCAACCGCGUUUCUGCUUUGGUUCGUUGUUGCUACGCACUGGCGCCAUUGCUCCCUGGCUCGCUGGCGUUGAUCCUCCAAUGAUGAACGCUGCCUGAUGCUACCCCUCUGCGAAGGGAUCGCUGCCUCAUCGAGUCGGCAAUCUUAUUGUGUUUUUAUUUUGCAGCAAUUCUCCCUUUUGCCGUUCUAGUUUUCUUGUGGCUGCCCCCCCUGCUGUGCUGGUCAUCCUCGUUGACUUUGCCAAGCCGAAUUAGCGAAGCAUCAGCCACCACUUACUGAGCGAGACACCAUCCUUGAGCAGCACGUCAUCUUGAGCCGCCGCCCGUGAGUCAUCCCGUCGUCCUUGUGCUAUCACGUUGAGCCUCUACCGUGAUCCACGAGUCGCUGUUCGAAGGCCACAUUUGGAAGCAAAUAUUUGGGAUAGGUAAGAAUUUUGUCUAUGUUAAUUCCUGAAAAUUUUGUUUCCUUAUUUGAUAUACUCAUUGGUGCACGUGAUGGAAAUUCCCAAUAUGCCAUGAUAUUCGCAACACGAUUAGCCUUUUAAAUUGGGAAAUCUUCCUAAUUUCACAACGUACAUAUGAUUGACGGUCCGAUUUCACGCUCGAAAUACGACCCGCAAUCGUACGGAAAAAUCACCAAUCCGAUCUCACGCUCGAGAUAUGAUUUGUGAUUUUAUUUAAAAUUUGGCCAAUCCGAUCUCAUGCGCGAGAUAUGAUUCGUCAAUUUAGUUCCCAAAAUUAAAUGGACGUGGAUGAUGUCUUGCUUGAUUUGGUGCCGUGUUGUUCUUGAUGCUUUAUUUGUUUGCUCCCGUAAAAGAAAAAAUAUUUGAGUUAGAUUAGAUGCAUGUUAGGAUGUUACUUGUUUUAGAUUAUUUUGCAUGUCUAGAAUAGGAAAUUUAUUUAUUUCGAAUUUUUGAAAAAAUGAAAAAAUACAAAAAAUUAGGAUGUUAGAUUUCUGCUUCACUAGUCUAAAUUGCAUGUUUAAUUAUUUGGCAAUUGUUAAUUUCGAAAUUUAAAAAAAAAAAAAAGAGAAAAAGGAAAAACACAAAAAAGGUCAUGUGCAUGUCAUGUAGAAUUAGUUUCAUACAAUGCACGUCAUUUAGUGAUUUUUGUUAGAUGCAUUUAAUUAGAAAUUGCCCGUCAUUAGAAUUAGGUCAUUAGAUUAAUUUAGAUUGCAUAUUUAAGUGUUGCAUUUCUUUAAUUUUGAAUCUCAUAGAAAAUACAUAAAAGUUAUUUAGAAUAAAUCAUCUCAUGCUUAGGAUAGACUACAUGCUUAGUUAUGUCAUAUUGCUUAGGUCAUAUAGCUAAGUCAUAUUGCCAUGUCAUAUCAUCUUAGAUUAGUAGCAUGCAUUGCAUGAUUAUCAUUAAAUAAGUGAAAACAAAAAGAGAAAUUGCGUGUUAAUUAGAAAUCAUAUUUAGGAUUGUUGAUGUGAAUUCUAAACUAACAACGCAGAUGCUUUCGUUGCUACGAGGUAAGUCCUGCAAUUUAUUCAUUGCUUUCUCGGAUGUUAAAUUGGUGGUUUGCGCACCCGCAUGAUCGCCUCACAUGUUAGGGAAAUAAUUUUAAAAUCAAUUCAAGCUGCUUGCCAAACAUUUUUCGAAAUAAAAGAGAAAGGUACCGAAAGGGCGUUAGAGAAAUCUAACGUAACCAAGUCCCCGAAUUCAUAAAUCUCUGGUUCGUAGGAGUAAAGUAAAUCUCCCGUUACUUUGCUUGGGUUUCUAAUCGACCCACCAAAAUAGAUUAGUGGCGACUCCUAAUUGAAAAUCAAUUGCAUGCUAAAAACUUGAACCUAAGUCGCGAAUUGGUAUGGGCUUGGGAGAGCCCGAGUUAAGUCUAGGCUUAACAAUCCAUUAGCCAAACCCUAGGUGGUUCACACCCCGAAAAAUUUGGGUCGCGACACUAAUUCUGGGAAUAAAAAAGCAGAAUCAGGCACUGUUUGGCAUGUUGCCAAACGGACCCUUAGACACCACUUCAUCACUAAAUACAAAAAGAAAAAAAAAACAUACAAAGAUUUAGAGCUACAUUAGUAAAAUUUAAAAAAAAAAAUGGGAUUACAUUGGAAUUCAUACAAUAAAUCUCUCUAAAUAUGGAAUGAUGAUUUAUUGUUUGAAAAGUUUUGGCAUCAAAAUGGAUGUCAUACAAUAAUUAUGAAAAUGAUAUCAUUCUUAUGCCCUUUUUUUUUAUGAGGUUUUGCAAAUUUAGGAUCAUCUUAUCUUUUCCCAUCUCACAUGUCCAUUAUUUGUUUUAUUCAAACACGAAUAAGGUCCAUAGUCCACUAUAUGUCCGUAGAGGACAAUAAUGUCUACUUCUUCUUUUGCCUUUUUUUCCCCGAAGUAACACUAACAUCGCGAAUCAUUUACAGUCGAAAAUGUAGCACGUUUCAAAUAAACAUGCCACGUUUGAUUGGAUGAACUUUUGUGAACUUGGGACCAUCUUCAUCUUGUCACUUCUUGUAGGUCCAUACAUUAUUUUAUUCGGACAUAAAGUAGCAAAAGUCUUUAUAAUAAGGUCCACCCUCCACUACAAGUCCCUAGCAGAAAACGUGGCGCAUUUUAAAAGGACAUGCCACAUUUGAUUGGAUGGAGUUUUGUGAACUUGGGACCAUCUUCAUCUUAUCACUUUUUGUGGAUCCAUAAGUUAUUUAAUUCAUAUACGAAGUAGCAAAAGUCUCCAUGGUCUCCAUGACAAGGUCCACCUUCCACUACAAGUCCUUAGAGGACAAUAAUUGUUUUCUUUUCCCUUGGCUUUUUCCAAAAGUGACUUUAAUGUCACUGUUGGCCAUGAAACGAUUGAUUUGAUAAGAAAAGUUAACUACAACCGCACCUUUUUUUCAAUCAAAAUAACCAAAGCCUCUCUUUUAAAGGAAUUACCCUUAGGGGUCUUGUUAAUCAAUCAAUUAAAGUUUUAUUAUAUUGAUUUUUCUCCAAAACAUGUAGGAACAAUUUUUUGGAAAUGGAUAUUUCAUUAUUAAGUAAAUUGGACAUAUACAUGGACCUACUAAUUGUCCUCCCUUUUGAAAUAACUGGAAUUUGUUCUUUGCCGUCAUGCAAGUUGGAUUGAAAUUUACACGGCAACACUUAUAUUUUGUUUUUUGGAAUUUGUUUAUCUUGAUUUUUGUUGUGAAAGAAAAAAUAAAUAACAACAUUAAAUCAAGAAACAUAAAAGUAAAUAUAAUCUCGUAGUUCAGUCAAUUGGAAAUCAGAUUUUCGUAGUUCAGUCAAUAUAAUCUCGUCCACGGGGAGAGCAACAUAAGAUUUCACAAUUGAUCAAGAGAUAUUAUGGAAUCACUCAAAUACUUUCAAGUUUUCUUAGCCACCAUUUAUACUCAAUAAUUCACACAAAUAUGUAGCUUGUACAAUUCCUUAUGAAACAAUCUUUAAAUCUCAUAAAGGAAUCAUGUGUCUCACGGGAUUUACAUAGCUAUUAAACACUUAGUGAUUAGUUGUCUCUGAAUAUAAUUAACAAACUUAUGCGCAACCUUGCAUGUUGAAGUUGAAGUUGGAGUAUUCACUGAACUUGUAUGAAAAAGAACUCUACAAACAGUAUUCUCCUCUAAUUAGGGGGGAAAAAGCCUUCCUUGGAAGGGGAAAAUAUGGUGGUUGCAAAUGAAGUUCAAGUAUUCGCUACUUACUCGUAGAUGAUGACAUGGGCUACUCUAAAGGAGCCCAAAGAAAGACAUGGCAUUUGGCAAUAAUGCAAUUAGGUAGUUCUAAUUUCAUUUUGGCGUGACAUUUCCCUUGUUGUUCAAUUUGGGACGAUGCUUUUGCAAUUCUAAUGAAUAGGUCGUCUCCUAUCAUUCCCCGCUCACACCAUUAGCAUGGAAUAGGGAUUGGCCUGCUUUAUGACCUCAAGGCCGUGAGGCUUGCUAGUCGGGCCUGCCUCCUCAAAACAUAGUACCAACCGGUCAACAUUCAAACCGGAUCCUUUAUCACUCAAGUUUUAAGUAACUUUCUAAUGUGCUGGAGUAGGAUGAGCUAUGGGUACUUCCUUAUCAUUAUUAUGCUUCAUCAAAUAUUUCAUGGUGACAUAAAUUUAUUCAAUAUGAAUGAACACAUAUAAUGAAUUGGAGCGAUCAACAUGGGUCAGACUCUCCUAAAAGAUUUUAGGUUGUGAAAUUUUUAGGGUGGGUUUCAACUUACUUUAAGUUCUUUUCUAUUUCAUGCGAUUUUUGAGGGUGAUUUCAACUUACAUCUUUAAGGAAAAUGAAAAUUUUAAUUGAACUUAAGAACUAAAAAGCUUUAGGAAACUAAUGCUUGCCAUGUGAUGACUUCAAAUGUAUAGGAAUGGUACACUUCACAAUGGCAAAUAAGGAAUCACAGCCUAAAAAGUGUGACAAAAUAUUUCAUAAAUUUUAGUUUCUAUGGUUAAAUAUAAGAAAAUUCAAUGAAACUUAACAGAAAAUAAUAUUUAUUCAAGUAAAAUCGUAUAAUGUAAUGAGUAAUAUACAUUUUUUAUUUGGGAUAAUUGUCUAAAAAAUGUUAAAUUAUUGCGCAACGGCCAAUUCAGUUCUAAUUUUUUUUAACAAUUUGUCAAUUUAGUCAUUAACUUUUUAGGAAUUUAAUAAUGUAGUCCUUCCAAUUAAUUUUAACCGAAAAUUGCCAAUGUGGCGGUCAUACCACAUAAGAUGGCCAACAUCCACGUCAAAGAUUUUUCUAUCAAAGUUGGUCAUUCCUAGUUUAGGCACUAGAAUAUGAUAUUGAUCCGGGCCUGCCGCCGCUGCCACCGCAACUUGCAGAGGUCUCGUAUGGGCUUACGAGAAUGACGAGCUUGUUGAAUGGUUUGCUGUCGUCUAUGGUGCAUCAGCGAAUGGAAUGAAGAAGUUGUAGAAGGGAGGAGGAUUACGACGAAAAACUGCAGAAUUGGAGAGAAGAAUUUUUCUUAUGAAGGUUGGGCAACUUAGGACAGGGAGAGGUUGAAAUUAUGGUUUUCGUCAUCUCUUCGAGUUUAGAGAAAGCAUAAAAAGCUAUAUAAAUUAUAAAGGUCAUUGGAGAAAGCUACUUCUCUCAUGCAGACUUGACCGUGGAAGUCGAAGAAUUAAAUCCUUGUGUUAAUGGGAUUUUAUUGAGCAUGCAUUAUAAGCGAAAUAUGUAUCUAUAGGCCUGUAAAGUCUAAGAUACCUUAGUUUAUCAUAUCAGUUAAAUAAUUAGUGGUGAAAGGGACUAGUACAUUUUUCUAAUUCCGUAACUCGUGUACAUCACUCCGUUUUGGGUCAAUACUACGAAAAACCUCAAACCAGCUCACUUAUAACAAAUUGAGCACAAACUAAUUGAAGAUUUUUGUAAUACUAUUCCUUCAAUUUUUUAUGGUCUUAAUUUUAGAUUUGUCAUUAUUAUUCAAUCCCAUUUGUCCCUGCAUGAACUCCAUGCGGUUAAAUUGUACCGAGAUAAUUUUCUUGUUAGCUUAUUCUAGAAAGUUUAUGACAUUCUUUGACCCAGAGGACUUUGAAAUUGUAAUUAAUAAGUCAGACACGUUACGUCGGUAAUUGAUUCAAAAUAUUCAAUGUUACGAUGGAAUUCAAUACCUAAAUGAGUGAAAGCGUUGGUUGUUGUCGACACCUCAAUUUUUUACCAGUAAAAUUUUUCUUAUCAAACAUUUUACUGAUAAAUCGAAAUAUACAAUUUUGCAGGAAUAAUAAUAAAAGUGAAUGAUGAAUGAAACACCGGGCCCACGACUCCACAGCCCAUCCAUGACUAGAAGAUGUAGACUACUAAAUCGAGAGUUUGGCCCAAGGGCUUUUAAGCUAGUUCAGGGGAUGAAUGACACCAAGCAGACCCUCAAAGGAUGAAAUGGAACUUUCAAUCCAGUCAAAUGGUCUUUUCCAUUCUUUUCUUACAGCUACACCGUAAGAAAACCAUAUCGAGGUCAGUACAAAUUACAAGUUGGUGCGACAAUUUAAGAUUAAAUUACUAUGCUGAGGUGAUUGACAUUCUCAUGGUACUAAGUCUAUAGCUUAACUAAUACACGAAAAAGAAAAAUAAUAACUAUAGGUGCAAUCCAUAUUACACCAAGAUCAGUUAAAUUACAAUGCUGGAGUUAAAUUACUAGGUACGAGAACUACAAGGUAUGACCCUAAAGGAAAUUUAUAAUACAAGGAGUAAGAUCUCUUAAGAUGAAGUCAUUUACCUUAGAGGAAGUAAUUUCAUAUACAUUUGAAAUGAGUAAUUUAGCUUGAAAGUAAAGUUCACCAUGCAAAAUGAAGUUCGUAAACUUUUUAUGUCAUAACAUUCGGGAAACUCGCUACAGCAGGUCAUUUUAUAUAUUCAUUGCAUGCAGAAGGGAAUCCGGUCACGUACUUUCCUAUCAAUGCAUACUCAUUAUUGACAAAAGUGCAGCUUCAGACAAUACAGGCUUCCAAGACUUCUUAAGUCAGUCACGAUCCCCAAGAGCAUCAAUCUUCCUCAACAAUGAACUGAAUAAAGACUGAAAUAUAUAGGUUUCGAACCUUGAUAUCAAGGUCUUCAUUGCAUUAACUCUUCUGUGAUCCUCCUCUCCAUGUAGAUGCAAAAUGGGAGAACCAGAUUCUGACCAAACAACCCCCUUUACGUUUUCACUUCUUGCCACGCGCCCUCAUCUGUAACAUGCAGGAAAAAAAGAAGGGACUGAUGGAAUCUACUCCUGUCACUGCAGGCAUGAACUCAGAUCCCGCUUAGUGCAUGAAAGUCUCGACUCAUCAACUCAUAAGCAGAGGGCACAUCAUGCAAGGGAUGGCCUUUCCGGUUUCUCUCCAUUAUCCUUCUUGCCAGGGAAACUUGCUUCCCAACUGCAAAGACAAAC